GUGCUGGCUUUGGCAGCAUUCAUCCUAAAAUUGGAAUAAUGCGGAGAUUAGCAUGGCUCCUGGGCAAGGAUGGCAUGCAAAUUCAUGAAGCAUUCCAUAUAUUU
ensembl:snRNA U6 U6 spliceosomal RNA